rnacentral:rRNA from 1 species
UGGUGGAGUGAUUUGUCUGGUUAAUUCCGUUAACGAACGAGACCUCAGCCUGCUAACUAGCCACGCAAACAUUCGUGUUUGCGGCCGGCUUCUUAGAGGGACUAUUGGCGUUUAGCCGACUGGAAGUGAGGCAAUAACA